rnacentral:sRNA from 1 species
AAAAUAUGUACCCGCAAUCGAAAAGAAGUCACGCUUAGUUGAGGCAGCGUCUACGCCGGUUGGAUAUACGAUGAAUCGACGAGCAAGAUUCGCAAUGUGCCUCGCAAUUGUCCGGAUACAUCUCCCUGCUGAACUACGAGAAAUGUUCAGCGAAUCUCCAACUAGAAGAUGCAUUGCACCGGUGGCGAAGUAUCGUAAACACAAAAGGACUUGGAGGAGGGGUGGUAAUGGCUGAUUUCGAUUUGUGGUCGAGGAUAAGUCUGGGAGGAGUCCAACGAUGUAAAGGAUUGUAAGUGGCCGAAACCGGUACCGCUCAAAGACCUCGUCUUCGUCCAAAUCUUCUAGAGGAUUUGAACGGUCCUUAAACAAUCUCGGACGCCUGUGCUGCUGUUGAAGCAUCCUUUGACGAAAUUGUCGUCUGUGAGCAGCCAUGUUUAUUUGUGUUUGAGUAUGACUCUGAGGAUGCUACGAAGCAUACUUAAAGAAUCUUGAGUAUGUACUCUGUUGAAGUCUGAGUAUGAGUUUAAUAAAGUUUUAUAACCUC